CUUGUUAACAGUAUGCGAUAUAAAAGAGAUCUAAUCCUAGAUGACGUCUUGUUAUGUUGCCCAAGCUGGUCUCAAACUCCUGGCCGCAAGCAAUCCUCCUGCCUCAGCCUCCCAAAGUGCUGGGAUGACAGACAGGGUCUCACUCUGUCGCCCAGGCUGGAGUGCAGUGGUGCAGUCAUAGCUCCUGCAGCCUCGAACUCCUGGACUACAGUGAUCCCCCCACCUCAGCCUCCCAAGUAGUCGGGACUACAGGAGGACGCAUUUGUCAGACCAAGCAUGGAUCAUCUCCAUGGUGGUGGUGGCAUCAUGAGAAAGUGAGGACUCUGUCGGGGGAGAACUGACUGAGCACUCCCCAUGAGGUGGGACAGUUUGAGGGAUUAACUUGCAUUGUUUUGAUUAAUCUUCAAAAGAACUGCAUAUUAAGUGGCUGGUUAAGCAUUUAUUCAUUUAACACAUUGUUAAUGGUCUCUUAUGUAAUCAACGAAUGAGACAGACAAGAUUCUUGCCUUCAUGGAGCUCACAUUCUAGCAGGGAGAAACAGACAAGAAACAAGCAAGCAACUUGUGUGGAAAUACAGUGACAGGUUGGAAAAUAUGCUGUCGAUGACGUUUGAGCUGAGGCCCGGAGGAUAAGGAAGUGAAAGACACGUGAGAAUCUGCAGAGGCAAAAGGAAGCAACAGGGAGUGCAAUGACCCCAAGGGGACAGCAGGCCUGGAGGGUUGGGGGACAGAAAGGAGUUCUGCAAGGCUGAGUGGAGUGGUCAGGGCCGCAAGUGGUUCCAAGGGGGUGGACUAAGAAGUUGGCAGCCAUAACUUACAGAACUUGCUAAUGGGGGAUGAGAGAAAGGGAGGAAGGAAUGAAGAAUGACUCCUAGGUUUGGGUGUAAGCCACAGAAUGGAUGAUGGAACCUCUAUACUGAGAUAUGGGCAGCAGGUUUGGGGAGGAGAAUCAAGAGCUCUGUUUUAGAUGGAUUAACUUUGAGAUAUUUAUUAGACAGUCAACUAGAGAUGAUAGGAGAGAGUUGGCUUUAUGAAUCUAGAG